rnacentral:rRNA from 1 species
GACGAACGCUGGCGGCGCGCUUAACACAUGCAAGUCGAACGGAAAGGCCUGCUUUCCCUUGUGGAUUGCGGGUACUCGAGUGGCGAACGGGUGAGUAACACGUGAGUGAUCUGCCCCCAACUUGGGUAUAAGCCUGGGAAACUGGGUCUAAUUCCCGAUAGGACUGUAGGGUGGUGCCUGUGGUUGAAAACGAUUUUCUAGUGGUUGGGGAUGAGCUCGCGGCCUAUCAGGUUGUUGGUGGGGUAAUGGCCUACCGAGGCGGGGACGGGUAGCCGGCCUGGGAGGGUGGGCGGCCACAUUGGGACUGAGACACGGCCCAGACUACUACGGGAGGACGCAGUGGGGAAGAUUGAACAAUGGGCGGAAGCCUGAUGCAGCGACGCCGCGUGGGGGAUGCCGGCCUUCGGGUUGUAAACUCCUUUCGACCGCGAGGAAGCCACCUGGUUGGAAGGGUGGUGACGGUAGUGGUAGAAGAAGCACCGGCUAACUACGUG